rnacentral:rRNA from 1 species
UACGUAGGGUGCAAGCGUUGUCCGGAAUUAUUGGGCGUAAAGAGCUCGUAGGCGGUUUGUCACGUCUGCUGUGAAAUCCCGAGGCUCAACCUCGGGCUUGCAGUGGGUACGGGCAGACUAGAGUGCGGUAGGGGAGAUUGGAAUUCCUGGUGUAGCGGUGGAAUGCGCAGAUAUCAGGAGGAACACCGAUGGCGAAGGCAGAUCUCUGGGCCGUAACUGACGCUGAGGAGCGAAAGCAUGGGGAGCAAACAGG